rnacentral:piRNA from 1 species
UCCCUGCUGCGGCAGAGCCACUGAGUUCA